GUAGUCGGAUUCGCAUCAAUCCACAUGUGUUGAGGUGGAUUAGAGUGGAACUUGAACUAAAUUCCACUCCAGCACAUGUGGAUUGAGGUGAAUCCGACA
rfam:Sorghum bicolor cultivar BTx623 chromosome 4, whole genome shotgun sequence.